AUUUUUAACCGCAGUACCAGUCGUACAAUUCUCUUAAAGCCGCUAGAAACCGCAACCGCCCGCAUCCACAAACUCCCGCAACCGCAACCGCUGCGUUUGAACCAGUCAGGCCCUAAGCAUGCUCUAAGACUGAUUAUAUAUACAUAAACUAAAAAUUAAAAAUAUUUAAUCGUAAACUAUAAAAUAUAAACAAUACAUAAUAUGUCAAGACCCAACAUUAUAAGAGAUUUCAAAAAAUCAGUUAUAAUCAAGAAAAUCAGACAUUUAUAAUAUAUUUUCCCAAAAUUACAAACCUUAAACCUAUUCUCGUACCUAUCUCCAAACAUACUACUGAACCUUAAAUAAUUCUUAAAUUGAUUCAAUAUGCUAAGUUUCCAAAUCUAUUUUUCAAACCUAAUUAAUCCCAAACAUUAAGACUAACAUAUAAAUCUUAUUCCUAAACCCUAAACACUAUGCUCUAGACCCUAAACACUAAAUCACAAAACUAAACACCAAAUAUAAUCUUUUCAAAUAUCAAACAUAAGCUACAAAUAUAAAUUAUUCAAAUUUUAAUCUUAUAUGUUAACUUAAAUCUCAAACCAUAUAAUCCAAACUCUAAAUCAUAAAACUCUAAACUAAUAAUGUAUUUUGAAAAGUUAGAUAUAUGAUUAAAAGGUUAACAUUUAAAUGUAACCCUUAAACUUCAAUUCCUAAUGAAAAUGCGUAAAGAAAAUAACAAUCGAUUUUAGUUAAAAGUUAUGACAAAUGACUGAAAAGGUAAAAAUAGUGGAAUAUUGUCAUUGGUUGAAUUCUUAAACACAUGGAUCACUCUUUUCUACCGUAGAUAAAGUUUGAUCCAACGCUCAGAUCUUCUCCUUAGUGUGUUUCUUUCUUCCCUUAUCUUAUUCUCAACCUUUAAUUCUCUGUCUUUCCUCUGCCAUCUUAUCCUAACAAUUACUUCUCUUUUUCUUCAUAUACAGAAUCAAAUUUCUUAAUUUGUAUAUGUUAAGUUUCCCAUCGCAUCUUUUAGAGAUGCCUCACAUCUGCAAUGGAAUUCUUUCCGGGAGACAUGUUUAGAAUCGAAGGUGGAUGAGGCAGAAGAAGAUGAUGUUUGGUGGUAAAGAGGAACCUUGUGGUGGAGCGCGAAUCCAUUUCUAUCUCUCCCGGUCUCGUGAUUCCUCUCAGCUUCAAGCCAUCUGGGUUUGUGGUGCUCGUUGACCUUUACGGCUGCUCUGAAUCCGGCUCAUGAGAAUCGCUUUGGCCUGAGACAACGAGACAUGCUUAAGAGAAUCCAAGUGAAGAGGCGGCGGAGAAAUGCAUAGAAGAUAGACCAUUGUUUUAGGUUUAGUUUUUUUUUUUUAAUUUGGUUUAUUUUUAUAAACCAAAUUAGUUUAUAAAACAAAAAUUUUAUUGGUAAAAGAGUUUUUUUUUUCCUGUAAACUAAUUUUUUAUAUAUAAAUAUAUAUUCUAUAAAGAACAAAAAAAAAUAUAUAUAUAUAUAUUCUAUUUUUUUAAUUUGGUGAUUUAUAUUUUUUUGAAAUAAUUGUAUUAGCCACAAUUUAUAAUGUGACAUUUUGUGGCUAAAAUGACUACAAAUAUUGUUUGGAGCUA